GGUAAGAAAGAUUGAAUCGUUUCCUAAAACAAUAUAUGUAACGAAAAAAUGGCCUCACACCUUUGCUAAGUAGCAUACUAGUUUCUAUCACACCGACUGGACACAACAAAAAUACAAAACAGCCCUAAAUUCGGGCGCGGAUUUCGCCUAUCAUAGCUAUUGCGUUGACUGUCAUACGACAAACCUAUUCGAAGGCUCUGACAUGACUUUCUCGCGCUAUAACCACAUCAAAUAUCAAUAUCUACGUUAAUUGCUAGUCACCUCAGGUACAUUUUCUCUUUAACAAAACAAUUAGAUUUCCAAAGGAACGACCUGCAAAGUUAUAGUUUACAACAUAGCACCUAGUUCCGCAUUACGUACACAUUUGAAAAUCAAUAAACGUGAAGCUAGUUAAAUCUGCAUAUAUAUAUAUAUAUAUAUAUAUAUAUGUGUGUGUAUAUAUAUAUGUGUGUGUGUGUGUGUGUGUGUGUGUGUGUGUGUGUGUGUGUGUGUAUGUGUGUGUGUUGUUUCCAAAUUUCUGCGUAAUUUGCGUCAUAGUGUUGUUCUUCUCCGAGAAAUUCUGUUUUUCCGCUGAGGAAAACGGCGGCCAAAGCAGCUGUCAUGCCUCAAACAUCUUACAAGGACACUGCCAUAAGCAACGCACAAGCUUAUGAGUGUUUUUCACUCUUUAUGAAUGGUGACUUGUCGCUUGUAUACCAACCUGGUUCAAGGGGACCAUUGACCACCUGAACACAUGAAAACAUCAUGACCGUCGCUGAAAAUUGACGAACUGAUUGAUAUGACUGGUGUGUCUUCGAGUUCCUGCCAACGAAGUUUGAGGGAAAAAUUGUGAACGAAAAGAGUUGCAGCAAAAUUUGUCCUUCGCUUGCUCACAGAAGAUCAAAUGAAUGUCCAUUGAAAGAACCAGACCUUCAUCCGGAGGUCGUCACUGGUGAGGAAAUUAAGGCUAUAGUUACUUGAUUUGUUUCAUACUUUCGAAUGGUAUUCAUCACACAUAUCAUUUUCCUUCUGGCCAAAUUGUUAGCCAGACAUUUUACUUGUUGGUUCUGAAGCAUUUCUGAGACACAACGAGAUGAAAACUCUCCUGACCAAUGGCAAAGUGGUGGUUUCAUCACGACAGCCUGUCUGCACACACAACCUUCCACGACACCGCUUACUCACCCACCUUAUUAACCCAGUUUUGAUCCCUGCCACAUUUUUUGUUCUCCGAAGGGAAAUAGUUCUUUAAAACAAAGCGUUUUGCAGAUGUGGAAGAGAUGAAGGAAAAAAAACGGAGGAAUUAAAAGACAUCACUUCAGAAGAGUUCCAGCACUCCUUCGAUGAGUGGAAAACGCGUCUAUAUCGAUCUUUUGUUUCAAAUGGAGAAUACUUUGAACGCGGUAUAACUGUUAACAUGUAACCAUGUAAAUUCCGUUUCCUUUUGGGUACUCGCUCCUCGUAUCAUCGACACCUCAGGAUUUUUACUUUUAGAAAAGUCUAGAAAGUGAAUGAAAUGUGCAGGACGUGUACACGGUGUAUCAAGAGGAUAGUAUUAUUAUGGUUGAGUGGAAAGUUUUGCCACUCACUCCAUAUUAGCUUGAACUUGCACCUUCAGAUUUCUGACUGUUUCAGUCUCUUGGAAAUUUAUUUAAUGGUUUUUCUCAACUUUAGAGAAGAUGUAAAAUUCGUCUAGAAGAGUUUUUCACCACUAAAAGCAGGAAAUUCUUUGAGCAGUGAAUAAUGGAUCUUCCUUCAAGGUGGCAGCAGAUACCGGAAAGAAACAGGAAUUAUAUCACUGAUUGAAUACAUCAAUUUGUGUUUAAAACUUGUUUCAUUUUCGCUGAAGAAAACCUAACGAACUAUUUGGCCAACGUUGUCAAGUGUGACGUGAAUAUUUCCUGCAAUAGCGCUCCUGGAAAAAGCCAUCUUUUGGGAAAGUGAAGUAAGGAAUAUAUCUACUUUUAAAAUUUAAUGAAUAAUUUUUCGGAUUGUCUUUGUUAUGUGCAAAUGGAGGAAACGAAUUUAAAAGCUAUAUGUGUAAAAAACCGUGUUGAAUAAUACUGGGUGCACUGAAAGAAAAACAAGUAUCCUAAAAGCUUGAUUUAAUCGUAUUAAACAUAACUAUGUCAUGCUACAAACAGCUAACUGCUACUCUAAAUGUACAACAGUAAUUAUGUAUUUAAUUUAUAAUUUGAAAAAUAUAUCAUUGAUUCAAUAGCACUUAUAUGAGGAAACGUUGAAAACAAUAUAUUUUGCGGGAAGUUUCAAUGGCAACAUAAUAUUUGUCAAUACACAUCUAUAUUUAGAUGAGGAGUUAUGUACAUUAUUAACAUUAUUUACAUUAUUUACAUUUGACGGAUAUUUGUCCUCCUCCUGUUUGUUCUUAACACAACGUUUCAGCUGAUAUACCUUCCAGCCUUCAUCAGAUGUCUUGGGGAAAUUUUAAACCUGGCUUCUCAUUCCUAAAGUAUUUGUCAAUGUUAUUAUUAUUAUUAUUAUUAUUAUUAUUAUUAUUAUUAUUAUUAUUAUUAUUGUUGUUGUUGUUGUUGUUGUUGUUGUUGUUUUAUUAUUAUUGUUGUUGUUGUUGUUGUUGUUGUUGUUGUUGUUGUUGUUGUUGUUGUUGUUGUUGUUGUUGUUGUUGUUGUUGUUGUUGUUGUUGUUGUUGUUGUUGUUGUUGUUGUUGUUGUUGUUGUUGUUGUUGUUGUUGUUGUUGUUGUUGUUGUUGUUGUCGUUGUUGUUAUUGUUAUCUUUGCACAGCUUCUAAGGCUGGAGAUGUACUACAGUGUCAGCUGUUCGCUACCAGUGAACUAAGGUAACACCCGUUAUUUUUCGAGCACCUAUCGGAGUAUUAGAGUGGUCCCAAACAGUGCUGUUUUCUGUCAGUGCUCCACUCUUAUUGCAGCCCCGAUUUGUUCCACGUACUUCUGGGGAUUUCUGCUCACUGUUCUCCUAGGGCCCCAACAAUUAUUGGUACCCUUAUCAUCGAUCACAACUGCUUAACUUCCCAAUCUAACCUGUCGUAUCUAUGGAACUUUCUUUUUCCUUAUCGCAUAACUUGUCAGCUCGGCAUGCUAUGUCUAUGAUCCAGCAUAGUUUGUUUUCUUUCUCAAUUAAGUCUAUGUCCGUUUCAUUAUUAUUAUUAUUAUUAUUAUUAUUAUUAUUAUUAUUAUUAUUAUUAUUAUUAUCAUUAUUAUUAUUAAUAUUAUUAUUAUUAUUAUUAUUAUUAUUAUUAUUAUUAUUAUUAUUAUUAUUAUUACUAUUACGGAUCUUAACCCCAAGAUUCCGGGUUCGAUUACAGACAGUUACCUGAAUAAUAAUAAUAAUAAUAAUAAUAAUAAUAAUAACAACAACUAUAAUAAUAAUAAUAAUAACAACAAUAACAACAACAACAAUAAUAAAAAUCAUAAUAAUAAUAAUAAUAAUAAUAAUAAUAGCAAUAAUAGUAAUAAUAAUUAUAAUAAUAAUAAGACCUGUGGCUGGACGUGAUAGAGGAUGGACGUAUGUUUCCGAUGCUCUGAACUGGCAACAGCUAACCCAGCAGGACAACUGAAAAAAACAACUGUAGAAAACAGGAAGAUCUACUGUUUUCUGUGAGUAAUUUGAAUUUCCCUGAAAAUAAGAUAAGGAACUUACAUAUCUACAGCUCAUACAAACGUACACCUAACAAGAAAAAUUAGAAACAUAAAUAUCUCCAAUUUUGUGUGAACAUUUAGUCGUCCCUCAUGACUAUAAGAAUGUGUAAAAUUGCCUUUUAUUGUAACAACACAAUUAAAUGCACGAUGAAAAAUUAUGGAUGUAAGCACCUGUUAAUAUAUACAUACAACUGAAUUCAGAAAUUAAAAAAAUAUAUACAUAACAUUGAAUUCAGAAUUUUUUUUAAAAAUCAUCGACGUAAACAUGAGAUAAUAUGUGUGUGUGUGAGUAUGCAUAUACAUAUACAUAUGUAUGUGGAAAGGAAGAAAAGAGAAAGGAAAAAAAAUAAAUAUAAACAGGUUUGACCUUUUACUGACCAUUAAUGUCCUUUGUCUUCACCAUCUGCUGAAUCUAUUUAUAGACCCAUAGAACAUGACUUCUUUAACCAUCCAUCCCCCCACACAAUGGCAGUAGUGGUGAUGAUGGUGGCUGUGACUACACAUAAAACAAUGUCAUUGAUGAUGGUGAUGGUGAUGUUGAUGAUGAUGAUGAUGGUGAUGGUGGUGAAGGUGAUAGUAAUAACAAUAAUAACUGACAGAUCCUUUAUUUUUCUUUUCUUUCUCCGUAUUUUAUUCUCAUUAUUUCGAACUAAUACAGGCAGAGUGAGCCUUUUAUAGGUUUAAAUGAGGAAGGGAAAAGACCAUGUACCCGAAAAUUGAACCAAAUUCUGAUUGAAAAAUCAGCUACUGGAUCAAAUCGUCCCAACAUACAGGAGCUGGACGUACCCCACAACCUGAAUAUUCCAACAGAUGGCCAUCCAUGCUCGUCACCAAAUAAUCAAAAGAAAAAGAAGGAAAAAUGGUCUAGGGAAGAUAAUAAAGAAGUACCAAGCCAUAUAUUUCCCCACGGAAUAAUCUAACACUGUACAAACAUACUUAAACUGGAGACAGAAACACCCUGAAGUAAGACCCUACAUAGACAGUAACAAACUUGCCAACGUCAGAAGAAACAUUAUAAAAACAAAAUUACUGACUGAAGUAGAGAUUGAUCAAGUUAGACAAGCAGUAUCGGAUAAAAUGAACGAAGCUGCAGCUAGAGAAGAUAAUACAGAGGAAAUAAUUAUAGACCAGCCCAGGGCUGACAAAAACGAAGUAAGGAUUGGAAGAGUUAGUAUAAGUGAUAGGCAACGUGAAAUAUUCCCUGAACCAAUCAUAAACACUAAGAGAGAUGAACAUCAAAUAGAUAAAGAAAGUCACACAAAUAUUGACCCAACAGAACUACAUGAGCUAAAAUAUCAAAUCAUGAUUGAAUGGCUGAAAAUUAAAGAAUUCAGCAUGGAUGAACGGGAUACACUCCCUAAAAUCCGUAACUCUAACCAAAACAUGAAAAUAAUUGGUAAAAUCCGGCUUGCACUUAAGGAUAUAAUUUCAGCUAAUGAUGUUGAUAUCACAAAUCUCAACCACCUAUACUAUGCAUCCGCGAAAAUCUCAACGAUCCUAUGUGGUGUAAAGAUUAGAAAACGGCAACCUUCCCACAAAAAGCCUUCUUGGCAAGAGCGUCUGCAACAACAAAUUAAACUAUUUAGAUCUGACAUUGAAUAUUUGUAAAACCUUAAGGUUCACAAGACUACCAAACCUACAAAAACCCCAAGACCUACCAAAACUGAGCAAAUAUAAAAAUCUUGAGAUAGAUUUCAGCAAAAUGUGGAACCUGAAGACUAAAACAAUACCUGUUGUCAUAGGUGCCCUAGGAAUGUUAGCGAAAGGGGCUGAUUGCCACCUAACUCAGAUACCAGAAAACCCCAAAAUGGCAGAAAUUCAAAAGAUAGUGCUCAUGGGAACUGCUCAUAUCCUACGCAAAAUACUCUGUAUGUAAUCCCAAGGUAUAAAACGAACUUUUUUUUUAAAAUUAUGUAUUAGACAUUCACUAGUACAACACCCCAAAAAAAAAACCCAAACAUAUGGCACACUAGGCAUAACAACAACGUGAACUUCCAGCCUGUUGUCUCUUGAGGUCUCUGGGUGAGACUUGGAGCCAACUUGUACAGACAUAAAGCGAAAGUCAAACAUAGAAUAAUAAUAAUAAUAAUAAUAAUAAUAAUAAUAAUAAUAAUAAUAAUAACAACAUCGACAAAUACCUUAGGAAUGAGAAGCCAGAUUCAGUAUUUCCCCAAGACACCCGAUGUGGCCUGGAGGGUAUAUCGACCGAAAGUUGUGUUAACAACAGAGAAGAUGAGGACAAAUAUCCGGCAAAUGUAAAUAAUGUAAAUAAUGAUUAUAUUUGUGUUUAAGUUAGUUUUAUACGAACUCUUAACUGGAUUGAUGUCUCUUUAAAGCACUGAAAUUUAAAACAAUAGCUCAUUUAUAUUGAUUAUGUCUUUAACAAUCUCGUGAGAUCAACUGCACUCACGAUUCAUAAAUACAGAAGUAUAUUAUUACAUGACAAGUGUUCCGUGAGGUAAUAGUAGCCGCAGUAUUUGUCAUAAUGUUGAUUGCCAACAAGCUAUAACUUUUAUUUAUCUGUAUUGUAUCGAAAUAUUAGAAUAUUGGAAAUAACUGUAGGCAUUCGCCUAAUCUAGUGGAAUUCGUUUUGGUAUUUGAUUCAAUUGAAAACGUAAAUAACUUUUACUUUGAUAUAUUUAAUCAUGAUUAACCACGUAUAAACUAAGAGCAGAUUAAAUUGACAUAACAUGACUAAUACUACAUGUACCAAAUUUGUGUUUAUAGCAGAAAACUAUUGGCGAUGAAUAUCUGCAUUGCAGCCCACCACAUACACUGUCAACUAUCAUGUAGAAAGUACUCACAGGACAUAUGCAGGCCAUGUAUGGAAAGAUAUUUCAAUAUCGAUGACUUGUCACAGAGUGGUGGAGGCACAUGGCCUAGUGGUUAGAGCAGUGGACUCACGGUUGAGGGAUCGCGGGUUCGAAUCUCAGACCGGGCAACGUGUGUGUUUAUGAGCGAAACACCUAAGCUCCACGCGGCUCCAGCAGAAGGUAAUGGCGAACUUCUGAUGACAUUUUUCGCCACAACUUUCUCUCACUUUUUCCUCCUGAAUCAUGCGGCUCACCUGCGACGGACCGGCGUCCCGUCCAGGUGGGGAACCUAUACGCCAAGGAAACCGGAAAACCGGCCCUUAUGAGCCAGUCAUGGCUCGAGAAGGAACAAACAACAAACAGGUUAGCCCUAUCAUUUCGUUUGUAUCUAGAGAUAUUAGGAGAGGAAGAGCAUUAUGUUAUUACACACCAUGGAUUACGUAAUUGUACAAUUUGAGAUUUAAUACAUAUAUUUAAUACAGCCACAUAGUAGCUGAUAAUAUAUACGCCUUUAGUUCCCUGAAUACUCUAAAUCAUUAGGUCUAGAGCAAAUUGAUUUUAAGGUCUUCUCCCGGUCAUCUACCUUCCGAUACUAACCCCGCUGACGUAAACUUUGUAUUUCAUAAUACCAUACGAUAUGCAAUAUUAGCGGAAGGCGAUUAAGUGCAGAUUAUGAGAGUUUCGACGGUGCUGAAUUGUGAUGUUGUCAUUGCAUUUAAUUUCUUCAUGUUUAGUCCUUCCCCACUGACUCUCGGCUUCCAUUUGCAGUAUUCACUAUGCUACAAGUAUUCAAGCAAAGCCUAUGUUUUAACCCUUCUUUUAUUUGCUAAUAUCUCGGAUUCAGAAAAUUAAGGCAUCAUGAGUUCAAACUUCCCCUCUCAGAUGAGAAAACAUAAAAGUUGCUAUGCUUAAAUCAAAUUCAUAUUAUCGGCUCGCUGUGUCUGGGAAGUCUUAUAUGCUAUUUACAUAAUCAUUUCUCGUCAUACAGUUCUCUCUUACUCAUCGGCAUUUAAUUUAGUUUUAAUUCUAACUGGAAUUUUAUAUUGUGUAUUUAAUUAAAUAGCUAAUUUCACAUACAUAAUUACCCAGCUAAUUUCAGCUUGCAAGUUUCCUAUACAUCACUACCUGUAGAUUUUGCUACUGAUCUAUUCACGUUUACUAUUCGAUCGAUAAUCACUAAUGUAUACAUUUCGAAAUUUUAUUUUCGUACACUAUGCACCUGAAACAACUAAGGUUUAUUAAGCCAUAACAUGUGUGUAUUUAACACUUUGGCAGAGAGAGAAGGGUGCCGUUGUGACAUACUGUUUUUGUUGAGCUAUUUUGACCUGGAGAAGUCCAUCAUUUUCCAGGUGGCACCUGCAACACUAAGCUUUAUUAAGCCAUAACAUGUCGUGUAUAUUCAACUCUUUGGCAGAGAGAGAAGGGUGCCGUUGUGACAUACUGUUUUUGUUGGGCUAUUUUGACCUGGAGAAGUCCAUCAUUUUCCAGGUGGCACCUGCAACACUAAGCUUUAUUAAGCCAUAACAUGUCGUGUAUAUUCAACUCUUUGGCAGAGAGGGAAGGGUGCCGUUAUGGUAUACUGCCUUUAUUGGGCUAUUUUAACAUAGAGAAGUCCAUCAUUUUCCAGAGGUAACCCCAAAUGAUUUUUUCUUCCAGAAAGAGAAGGAAAUGACUGAAAGGAAUAAAGUUAUACUGAGAGAAAACCCUUACUCUAUGCAAGAUUUCAAUUAUCAUCAUUUGAAGUUAUAUUAGACUCACUAACGUUGAGGAGAACAUAGGCCUGGUUAUGGUCAUGUUAAUGAAGAAAGCGACUUGAAAAUGUGGUUGAGUAUCGAAAUCACUGGAUUUCCUUUCCACGAAUAUAUAAUUAUGAUAUGCGAUUUGUGUUAUAUGAAAGAUAUCAUUAUUUGUCUCAGGAAAGUAACUGGCAAAGGUGAAGAAAUACAUACACUGACCGUGGUGAGAUAUUAGUUGUUAAUGCAGAGUGGUGAUAUGAUGCUUGCGGCUAUCCAGUCUAAUGCAAUGAAAUCAUUGAAAGACAGUUGUUAAAGCGAUGUUCACAACAAUGUCGUUAAUGAUAAAUACUAUGAUAUUGCCAUUGAUAAUGAGCAGAGUACAUAGAGUUGGAUCAACUUACUUCAAGCUACAAAACUACUGUUUCUCGUUAGUUUUGCGAUUCGUUAUAUUACUCUACUACUUCAAAAGAAAUAUCUGUAUAUCAGAGUUUCUUUCAGGUUGGAAAUUUAUUCCAACAGUUGAUUGCAUCAUCAUAGGGAUUAAAAAUCAGAAGCAAGUUACGUAAUUAAGAGGUGUGUAACGACUUAUUAUUAAUUUCAAAACUAUCAAAAACUAGAUAAUACAGUUUUUCAUGGUGUGGCUCUGAAAAUCUAAAUUAAAUAUUACGUGAUUCAUCAGUUUUGGAAUCAAUGACCAUAGAAAGACAUCUGAACAUUCACAUACAAGGCUCAGAAUAUAUUUAUGGGUAGAGGGACAAUUCGUCAACAGACCGUUGGCCGUCAGACAAGUUACAGAGAGGACAAUUGUGUGGUAUGGUGCAGAAUCCUUUUGCCAGAUAUAGGGUGUUCCAGCAGCCACAUCUUGAUCCAGAUCAGCACAACCUCCUCCAAGCACUUGAUGCUCAGUCUGUUUGCUUGUUUGUUUGUUUGUUGAGCGUCUCAGGACUGUCUUCAGUGUGAGAAGUCCGAAACGUGGUCCUUUGCUCUUCAUAAGACCCGCAGAAGAGAAAGCAGGUCAAACCCCGAACACCGAGAGCAUCGACGGAUGGAUGAAUGCGCAUCCAGGCUCAGCGGUUGCGUAGGAAGUCGGGAACAAGAAACAGGAAGAAAGAGUGAGAGAAAUUUGGAGCGAAAGAGUACAUCUGGGGUCACCGCCAACCCCCGCCGGAGCCUUGUGGGGCUUUAGGCGUUUUCGCUCAAUAAACACACACAACGCCCGGUCUGGGAAUCGAAUGAUGUUGAGUCUGAGGCAGUGUGUGAAUUGUCUGUCGGUGAAUUGUCAGCGAUAUUUAUGUAGGAAUAAUAAACUGUUUGUUAAUGAAAAUUUAAUUUAAUUAAAUAUCUGUUGUACACUUUACCAAUGCUGAAAUGUACGCUCAGUAAAACUGAAUAUCGAAGGCACUGUAUCAAUGCGUCUUUGUUUGAAACAAGUAUUGUUGCCGUAGAGCAAGUUUCAGUUUCAGCAUUAAGACGUCUUAUGUGGCAAAACAAUUUUACUUCAUUAUUCAUGACUCGUCACCGAUGGCUAAAUGUUGCAUGUCAUUUAAAAGUAGGAAGCAAUUACGUUGGGUAGUAUAUGAUUAGUUCUUAGAACUAAUGAAAAUAAGCAAUGCCUUUUCUGGAAACAAUCAGUCGUCUGUCAGCAGUAUGUUCUAUGUAUAGUUAAGCAUUGUAUCAUAAAGUAUCCCUACAGGGAGAUUAUAGGUUAUGUUCAAAUUUAACUCUCCACCAAAAUAAUACACAACAACUGCAAAACAUAUAAUAUUGAUGACACACAGAACGACAAAAAUCACAUAGAAAUUAUAAACUUCGACUGCGCUUUUGUAUGGAAGUAGAAAGCCAAUUAGGGGACGUGUUAUUUCCAGUUGAUCUGCACAAUAACAGCAGCAUCGUAGAAAUAACAACUGCAUCCUACCGUUUUAGACAUGAAAAGAUAAUUAUGGAACCUGUAUGUCUGUAUAUAAAAAGAUACGGGAGGAGUAAAAUUAGUUUCAAAUACGGAACUGUUUGAUGAGGGCUAACCAGGUAAUAAAAGCAACAAUAGCAACUAUGAAAGAAUAGUCUGGUAUAGCUAAUAAUUUUACAUUUCCCCAUGAAACACAGAGUUUUUAUGAUUUUUGAAAUAAUGUGAAAACAACACGUGAUCUUUAUUUUGAUGAGAUAAUUGGCCUGAUAAUUACUAAUUACAUAGAAUGAAAUAAUCUUACAUCAAAGUGACAAUCUGAAGUCUAACUAGGAAUUUAAUAGCAUCACUAUUACAUUAUCUAUGGAAGGUAUUCACGAAAUCAUAAAUUUAUCGAGCUAUUUCUUCGACAUAUACAGUGGGCAUAUGAAUAAUACUUACCCCUUCAGGUUCUCAAGAUAGACAAGGAAGCGUUAAAAGAAGUGAAAGGAACAUAGCUCUAUUAUUCCGCUACAUAAGAAUCCUGAGAUAUAUGGCAAACAAUAUAAAGAAAUACUUUUAUUCUUCCUUCGUGAUAAUUGCCUUUACUUCGUAAAUGGAUAAGUAUGUAGAGCAUCAAGUGGUUGGUGCGUUGAUAGUGCUUUGUUUUGUUGCUAUGGCAUAAAGAUAUCGAUAGAUAUUUAGUGAAUGCUAUAUGUUGAGACGUAUAACAACAUUAUGUUUUUGCAAUAUGUUCGUGAAGUGAAACGUGAGAACAGAGGUAAAUGGUGCACAUGUCUGCUCUCCUUCGAGUUUCGUCAACCUCCGUAACUUCCAACGAACAUAUUGAGUUCUUUUAGAUUAGAUAUAAAUGUGUUAAAUCUUCACAAAAUCUGUAUUAUUGUUAUGUCUAGCAGACGAGUAUCCACCACUGAUGAUGGCCGAAAUGAGAUCACAGUCAUGUCAUCAGGUGGUAUUUGAGCUAGAAUAGUAGGGAUUUCUCUCUCCGCUUGUAAUAUAUAUUGAGUGCGCUUAGCAUUCAAUAACAUGCUGGAGGAGGUCUCCCCUGAUUUUAAAAUAGCAGUAUCGUCUGGGGGCGAUAAUUAUUACUUAUAUUAAAUCUUAACCGGCGUUCAGUAACUCAUUGUUGUCUGCGUUUGCUAGAAUUAACUUGAUCUUCAAAGACAUUUGGAACGCAAUGUAUCUUUGAGGAGAAUGUGAUAGGUAAGAAGGUUGUUUAGCCACCGAUACUACAUUAAGCUAUGAAGCAUUUUUCCUAUGAAAAGAGAAUAUAUUUGUUUAUAGAGUUAAAUGACAACUUAAUAAGUGAAAUGUUAUAUAGGUGGCUCCAGAGAGUUGUGAUAGUUUACUGCACAUCAUAUAGCAUCGACGUUUCUUUCAUUAUCAUUUCUUGUUAGCUGAAGCAUUAUGAAGCUUUAAUAUUCAGCUCUCUGGAAAGAUGAGUGCUUACAAAUCAAUGUUAUUGUGUGUUCUUAAAGAUAUUUCAUUGCUAAACGAUAAUCACGACAACACAAAGGAUUCUCUGCAAAGAAAUAUCGUGAUCGAUACAGCAUGCUUUUAUCGUGAUAUCCUGUGAUGAUGCCAAAGUUCCUUGCUGGGGAUUGGAACUUGAAAGGAAACUUGAAAAUGAUAAGGAAGAAUCACGACUUAGGCUUCCAAAAUGCGUAAAUGAAGUUGCUUUCAACGUACACUGCAACAUUAACCCAUUAGUGUCCAUGGUCCCUUUUUUAGGAGCAGAAAAUUAAUUCAUCAUAUUUCUACAACACAACACCUGUAUAUUUGUGAGAUAUCUUUAGUUAGUUAUCUUUCAAAUAUUACCCCUACUGUCUGAUGUGUACUGGCAACACUGAUGUCUCCGUUUUCAGUACAGUGUAAAAGUCUUGAAGGGAAACAAUACACUCAGUUUCAUCUAUUAUUCAAUCAAACAUUUUUUAGUAAGUAUUACUUAUAUCCAACCCAUAUUUGUAUGUAGUAAAAAUAAUUGUUCGAACUAUUCUAUAAAGUCAAGUAAACUUUUGAAAGUAAUUUUGCUAAAAUAUAGCAUGCUCUAAAAAUUUGGUCCUAAUGUAAGAACCAUAGUCAGUAGAACACAAUUUCUUUCCCCGUUUUCUAUGGGUGUUGCAUAAAAGAGAAAACGGUUUGCAGGGGUACAACUUAUUCAUGCUGAAAACAUUUUCUAUGUAUAGACAGCUGGGAAAAAAAAAAAUUAUUUUCUUUCUUUGUUAUUUUUAUUUUAGUUUAAUUUUCAGAGACUUUCCCAUGGCUUUCUACCAUUCAGUCAAGUUAUUCUGUUCAAUUCAUGAUGCAGUAAAUUAUGUAAGGAAAAAUGAAACUCCUAGUAAUGAAAACUUUAUUGAUAUUGUAGAAAUCCCUCCACCAGUAAAUAAAAUGAUGAAGAAGAAUUUAAUGAUGAGAUUUUAGAUGAUGAGAAUAGAGAUGCGACCUUUAUCUUGCAGGAAGUGUCAGGAAGUCUUGAGCUUCAUCGUUAUGAUAACGAAAAACUAACACAACACAAAGGGAAAAGGAAGAAAAGAUCAGAUUUCUCUUGGAAAAAGAUUGAGAGAGAAAUUAGAUUUUCUACAACUGGACAUAUUCUUGAUGGAACAGAGCGAAGGAAACAAAGAAAAUGUGACUUUUGCGAGAAAAAAAUGUUUCAAAAUAAUGUGUAAAAUGCGAUGUUGAUCGUCAUAUGGGGGAAUGUUUCAACAAUGGCAUUCGAAGUAAUCUAUAUUUAGAUUGUUCAGGAAAUAAUUUUUUUUUUUUCUUUCAAGUAAUAUGCAUUUCAUUUGAAUUAAUAAUAAAUAAAAGGGUGAUUUUUUAGAUAUAUUUUCCGUUUUCAAAUCAAGUAUUCUACAUAAAAAAUCCUGUUUUCUGAACAAAAGCAUGCCAUAUACCCAUUGUCCUCUAACAAAGGGACCAAACUAAAACUGUAUAUUUUCGUAGAAUAUUGUAAUAAUUUUUCUUUUAUAUAUUUAGUAUCAGAUAAAGAUGUAUAAAAAAAUUGUGGUAAGAAAUUAAAGAAGAAAGCUUGGGCACUAAUGGCUUAAUAAUUGCAACGUAAUGUUUAAACAUGUAACUGCUUCCAGUAUUAUAAACAUAAUUAUAACGAACACAAAAUUCUUAAUUACAGUUUCAUCUGUUCGAUCACUAAUUGCUGUCUACCGAACGGUCGUGACGGACGUACAGUUAAAGAACACUUAAUUUCAGCGCUCUUUCUGCAAACGAAUGUCGCGAUCGUUUGAAAUAAAAUAGUCAAAUUUAUUUCACUGAACAUGGAGCUUAAUGUAGUACAAAUCACUUAAAAUAUUGUACGUGUGAGUGUGGUUUGUAUAUAUAUUUGUAUAUUCAAAACGCUCACACUUAUUCCUAAAAUCACAUAAAUAUAUGUGUAUAUACGUAGGUAAGUAUCUCCAAUUGAAACACAUAUUAAAACGUAAAUCGUAUGCACUUUCCGGACAGCGAUUAUAUUAGAUAUCAGACACAGGGUAUAUUGAACUUUUCCAUAGAAGAUUUAUGAAUAUAUUACUAUGGACGUAAACGUAUUAAUGCGUCGAUCGGCGAUUUCAUAUGAUAUGUAUAAGUAUAUACCAUGGUCAACACAUUAAAUACUGCUACGUAUCGAUAUUUCUAAAGAGUUCAAUUAUAAUUCGUUAUUUAUCGAAAAGAUAUGUUGGAUGAUAUGAUAUUUUCAAUGGCAAAUGCAAAUCUAUAUCGCGGUAAAAGCAGAAAAUAUUAAUACAGUAGAUAAAGACUAAACAUUAAUAUUUUUCAUAUCUCAAAUGCAUGACUAAGCCUGGCAUACCUGGAGUUCUAUAUAGAUAUAAUCGCUCUAUAUUUUGUAUAUGUUUGAAGUUUGAGUAUGUAUAGAAAAACGUGUGAGUGUAAAUGAUGUAAUAUAAUACAUACACAAAAAUACACACAAUCAUACAUACAACACAUACAAACAUACAUACACAUAUUCAUACAUAUGUACAUACAUACAGGAAUAUAUAUCCAUAUACGUGUAAGUGUAUGCAUAUAAACAUAUAUAUGCUUAUAUAUUCAUUACAUAUAUACAUAUAUAUAUAUAUAUAUAUUGUUCUUUUACUUGUUGCAGUUACAUGACUGCGGCCAUGCUGGACCAUCUUGUUUGUCGCCUCCCCUAUGUUUAGCCCCCUGUAGGCGAAAGAGAGGGGACAAACAAGGACAGACAUAUCUAUGUGCAUAUGUACAUAUAUAUAUGUGUGUGUAUAUGUGUGUGCAUAUGUGCACACACACACACACACACACACACACAUAUAUAUAUAUAUAUAUAUAUAUAUAUAUAUAUAUAUAUAUAUAUAUGAGUGUAUGUUUGAGUUUGUGUGUGUGUAUGUACAUAAUAAAAUGUCUUGUGAUCGGUAUUGUAAGAAAUCAAAGUCUAUCACCAAUCAAAUUUCUGAACCAUGGUACCGUUACCAAGUUGAGAUAAUAUGUUUUUACAGAAUGAUAUAUGAAGUAGACAGAAAUUAUGGAUUAUAUGCAUUUUUUAUUCAUUAUAGGCUUACAGCAAUUUUGGUUAUGUGUUGGUCGUGUUCAUGUUUCAGGCUUAUGAACCUUAUCUUUUUCAAAACCAGCUCUGAAGAAGAUAGCUUACAGUAAUGGUUUCCUGUAUACUUUAUCGAUCAUUUCUUAUGUACGAUUGAUUAAAUUAGAUUGAAUUUAACUUUCACACUAUAUUUCUAUGGCAUAGUGGUUAAGAGCGCUGGCUACUAACUCCAAGAUUUCGAGUUCGAUUCCAGGCAGUGACCUGAAUGACAAUAAUAAUAUUAAUAAUGAUAAUAAUAAAAAUAAUAAUAAUAAUAAUAAUAACAACAGCAACAACAACAUACCUUAGGAAUGAUAACUCAGAUUCGAAAUUUCCCGAGACACCUGAUGAAUUCUGGAAGGUAUAUCAGCCGAAACGUUGUGUUAACAAGCAAGAUGCGGACAAAUAUCCGUCAAAUGUAAAUAAUGUAAAUAUUUCUAUUCUCUCCAAAAUAAUCAGAACAAUUACUUCGGUUUCUUCUCCAUAUCUCCGUUUAAGAUUCUUCAAACUAAGGCAUAGAAAUAAGAACGUUUAUAUACACAGUAACAAGACAACAGAAGGAAGCCGGUAUAUUCAACCUAAUUCAAUACGAGACUCGAGUAAAUAUUAGGCAAAAGAUAAUGUGAGGCAAAACUGGCUGUUAGAAGAUCUUCUCACGUAAUUGUAGGCGCUAUAUCCAGACAACCUACGAUCAUCCUAAUCAAAGGUUCACACGAAUUAUGGAUAAAAUGGCGCAAAUAGGAGUAAAAGCCAAAUCUGCCUACUCUUACGUACGUUUACGUUUAUUUAGAUGUGAUAAACACUAUCAUGAAAAACGAAAAUAAAGCUUAGACGUUGGAGCAAGGAAUGUGCAACCUACAAAGCAGUAAGGGUGGGGCAUUUGAAUUACGGGAAGUUAAUUUGUUAUUAUAGAAAAAUCUUGCGAACCAUGCUGAAAACGCAAACUACCACACUCGAAUGCAUGGAUCAAAAACCGAAAUGAAAUUUAAAGAAAUACCUCUAAUUUCGAAAUUUGUAACAAAGAUGUCAGGAAAAUUACUAUCAGGGACUGACUCACUUAUGAUGCCCACCUAAAGUUUGUCUUGUUGCCAUAAAGAGAAGUAAUUUGUCCGUGUCUGUAUUCACUGAUAAAUCCGUUCACAUCUAUGCAAGAUGGCCACAUUUUUCGCCUCGAAUCAAACCGCAGCGUACAAUAUUGCAUCCAACUGAUAAAUUGUUGAUGUUUGUUUUUUAAAAAUUCAAAGAAUUUGUAAAAUUAUGUACCUCUGUGACCUAGGUAAUUAUAAUCAAGCUAUAUCUAUACCAGGCAUUCACAGAAACUUAAAUAAUGCUAAAAUAUAACGGAUACAGAGAUUCACAUAUCAAAGGACAUGAAAGUUCGUACUGACUGGCAAGAGAAACGUCAUGGUGCAAUAAUCAUACAUGACGAUGAAGAAAUCACUCAUGCUGAUAUACACUAGAUCAGCUUUCAAAAUACCAAUGAUAGCGAUCAAGCAACUCAACGUAGAUACUUGCACACUGUAUCAUGAGUCAGAGAGCAGCAAUCGCAAUGAUGAAGUAGAUGAAAGACUUAGUAUGAUAGAAGUGGUAAUAAUAGACAUAGAUAAAAACAACCGUAUCCCUCCAGGUUGAUUUUAAUCUUUCGUGAUGUUAAGAUGUGAAUAAAAUGCAAAGUCAUAUGUGUAAACUCUCGGAUACACUAUUCAUAGAACAAAAUGUAUGCUAACACACCAGGAGAAAAACAUUCUAGAUACUUACCUUACACUCUACAGGGAAGUCAUAGACGACCUGAAGGUGAGGUCGACAGAUAUCCUGGACACUUACCACGAUAACACUUCAAUGCAUUAUCUUACCAAUACUGUAAAUACAAACCCCUUUAAAAGCAUAAUCACACAAACACACACACACACACUCACACACAUAUUCACACACGCAGACAGACACACCCAUUCUCACACACACGCACGCAUAUACGGAGUUCCUCGAAACUCUAAUCGAAAGACAAGCUCUCAGUUUCAGUCAAUAUAUUGUCAAAUCGAAGGUUAAAAAUAAUGAAAUUAAUCUAUGGAAUAUAAAAAUGAUGAAAUAUAAGAAUCAGUAGGCUCGGACCAGAGCAAAAUGCUAGUUUUAUUUCAUGAAAUACUGCAAAAAUUUUAGGGAACUAAAUUUCUCCAUUGAUACAGUGCAGUGUAUCAUAUCUGGGGACUGUCAUAAGAAUAUUCUGCGGAAAGUAACCCAGUAAGGCACGAACAUUUAUUUAUUGACAGCAGACCACCACAUAUAUAGCUUUGCGUUAGAGCCGUAGACAAAGCAUCUGCUUUCUAGAAUGUCCAUACCUAUAGACGGUACUUGCUGCUUUAUAAUAGCAUCAAUAAUAUCUAUCUAUCUAUCUAUCUAUCUAUCUAUCUAUCUAUCUAUCUAUCUAUCUAUCUAUCUAUCUAUCUAUCUAUCUAUCUAUCUAUCUAUCUAUCUAUCUAUCUAUCUAUCUAUCUAUCUAUCUAUCUAUCUAUCUAUCUAUCUAUCUAUCUAUCUAUCUAUCUAUCUAUCUAUCUAUCUAUCUAUCUAUCUAUCUAUCUAUCUAUCUAUCUUGCUAUCUAUCUAAUUACCUAUGUAUCUAUUUAUCUAAUUGUCUAUCAGAAUGUCUGUAUGUGUGUGUGUGUGAGUAUGGUUGUGUGUUCCCUAUAGAUUUUAAUUUGAUUUGACUGCUAGCAAUAAUAAAAGUUUAUUAUUAAUAUCCUUGAUAUUUUUUCUUAUUCUAGCAUCAAGACAUUGCAAGCAAGCAAGUGAUAUGAAUGUCUUCAAAAAGUACAACAAAAAUAAGAAGAAAUGUAAACGUUCAGAAGACACUUCUCAUAAUAUAUAUCUGAAAUCAGCAAUUAUAAUCACAACUAAGCAUUUUUUUUUUCUUAAGAUAGAACGAAAUAUAUU
rnacentral:lncRNA from 1 species